GCCCCCGGGUAAAUUGAGUUUGAGACCCCUGCUUCAGAUCCAUGAAGAAAAAUGAGGAACCGCACAAGCUGCAGGUUUGAAACAGUCAGAAAGCCGGUUGGCUCUUGUUCGUUAGUUCCAGUUCCUGUUCGUAUUUGACAGCUGGAGAACUUUAAGUACGAUUUCUGGACUCAGAGCUUAUUCUAACAUCUUCCAGUUCAGUUGUUACUAUUUGUUUUCUGUUUCUGUUGCGGUUGCAGCAUGGUCUGUGUUUUUUUUUCUACUGUUGUUGAACCUUACCUUCAAACUAGAAUCUAUUGUUUAAAGCUAAGCUUGCCAUAUGUAUUGAUGUAUAUAUGUGUUGCUAAAACACUUGUCUAUUUUAGAUAUCACUGGGUGUUGGAAAAGAAAAGGCUGAAUUAUUGGAUUAUUCCUGUAGCUGUGCAGCUGGUAAAGGUUUUUGCAAUCAUGUAGUUGCACUUCUUUACCAGACUGCACACUACUCCCAACUCCAGCUGCCAACUGUUCCUCCUGCACAAGUGAUUUACAAAGAUGGCACAGACCAAGAACACAGGGGAAACAUCCUGGACUUGUCAGCGACGUGGUGGUGAGGAAGCCCAAAACUAUGGGGAAAAGAUAUCUGCACUCCACACUUUACAGAGCUUACACAGGAGCACUUCCAGAUCCCGACAUUCUGGCAUCAGGAGAACAACUACGCCAGCUGGAGUCCCAACCACUUAUGGCUCUUGUACUAGAUGGUCUUUCAAGUUUGGAGCUGGUUCCAUCCAAACUUGGGCCUGUGCCACAGGGCUCACAAUGUCUUAUCAAUGCCCACCUGAGAAGUCAUCUGGUAGCAUCAUUUUGCACCACAUGGCUCCAGACUUCCCUUCUCGUCCUUUGAUGCUGCAUAGUCUUCCGAAUAUGUGUUUUGUGCCCAAACUCGGUCAACUUAUGCAUCUUCAGUCUCUGCAAGUGUCACUGGAAAUGUCUUAUGAAAUAGAGGCCAGAACAAGAGAGCAGUCCAUUUGUCCUGCAUGGGUACAACUUUGACAACCAAGACUCACUGCUAGCCGUUUCCGUGAUGCUUGCAGAGGAAGUGCAGAGGAGGAGUCUGCUGCCACAGCACUGGCAUCUCGGAUGAUCAGGGGGUCCGCUAGACAAACUGCCGCCAUGAAGCGUGGUCUGCAGAUGGAGUCUGAGGUGCUGGCAAACUCUGCUGAGAUGUUGAGGGUCAAUGUGCCCCCUGUGGGAUUCAUUGUUCGCCCUGACACAUCAUAUCUUGGUGCAACUCCAGAUGGCAAAGUGUGUGACCCAUCAGAAUCCCCCCCGUUUGGACUGGUUGAGGUAAAAAGCAGCAUGAAGAAUGACGUGUCUCAGGUUGCUCACCUCAAGGUUCAGGAUGGCCAGGCUGUUUUGAGGCAUUCACACGCAAACUACUGGCAGGUAGAGGGUCAGCUGGCAAUCAGCGGAUUGGAAUGGUGCGACUUUGUCACGGACACACUAACAACAGUAACUGUUGAGCGGGUGUGACGUGAUGAGUCUUUGAUUGAUCAAAUGAAAUCUAAACUGGACUUAUUUUACUUCAACACCUUCAUUGAUGUGUUCAUGUCAAUGCAAUAAGAAUUAUAAACUUAAUUAUAACUUAUCCUUUUGUUUCUUUGUAUUUCAAAUAUCCAAUCUCAAGCUGUGUGUAAAUAGUUGUUACUCAUGAAACGUAUACAGAUGUGCAAGUUUCUUUAAAAGGCAGUUGCAUAAUUUACGAAAAUUUGUUUCCUUAACUGCACUUGUCUUGUAACCCGUGUUUUAAAAUAGCUUCUUAAGGUUUUCUUAAGUAUGUGCAACUAUUGUUAGUUAGAUUUGAUAUAUAUUAAUUGAUUUGUUUUCCUUGCAAUUCAACUUAAACAAGAAAAUACAAAAAGAAUAGUACAGUAUGCUGCUCAAGUGUGUUUUAAUUGAAUAUUUUUUUUAAAGUCUAGACAUUUAAAUAACUUUUUACACAGCACUACAACAAUUAACCUACAGAAAUAAUUUAGUCUGCAACACAAAAUGGGCCUUGAUAAUUUGCCAAAACACAACAGUUGUGCCAGAUUUGAUUGACAGUUCCUAUUAAAGUGAGAGGCACCGGAGAAUCCCAGAUGUGGUAGCACUUUACUCUGGCGAUUGCUCGCUCUACAAUGAUUCGCAGUGGAGCAAUGGUCUGGGUCUCCUCUGUCUCUUUGUUGCUGAACUGGCCAGGAUGCCUAAAUGGAGGAAUGGUGAGUUUGGCUCCAACUUCAUGAAGGAGGUCUUGAAUGAGGAAGCCUUUAUCUGCCAUGACUUCGUCUCCCAGCUCAAGCAGAGGAAGGAUUCCACUAACCUUCGUUAUUUCUUUGUCUGAGAUGCAGCCUGUGUACAACGCUGAGACAGUUCAGCUGGUAAUAUAUCACCAAGACUGAAAUCCGCGCUUGGGAGACGGCGGCUCUUGAGGACAAUGGACUGGCACAGCAGGGUGCGAGGACCAACGGUCAAAAGGAAACAUUGUGCCCGAAAACAGAAAAAGGGGAAACGGGCGGCUGGUUGACCCAGCUGAUGAUUAGGACGCCACCAAUUCCAAA